AGGACUCAUACGCGCUCCUUCAACAUCCGGGAUGGUGCAGGCAGGACCCAAGACUAAGCUGAAAUUAAAGGCUACAUUUGGGGAAGAGAAGGCGAAGAAACUCAGGGCCAUCAGGCUAAUCCUUUCAGGUGGUCCGGGAAGACCAGGAAGAGGUAGGGUGGACCAACCUCCGAAACGGCAUUCCCAAGAUGGCUCCAGGAGAUACCAGGUAGCCACCAACAAGGAGACUUUCUCUGAGAGAAGAGAACUCAAGAAAGAGAGGGUGCCACCUUGACUUCCUCCCAAUGAUGGACCUGGAACUGAGACCCAAAUGAACCCUUCCUUGCUUCCUUCCUCCUUCCUUUCUUCCUUCCUCCCUGUAGCUUUCAUCAGGGUUAUUUUGCCACAGCAGCAUGAAAGGAACCUAGGACAAGCCUGAAAGAACAAGAGCUACAGCUGAGGAGAGAGGCUGGGUAGCUAGCUGUGUGCUCAGCCUUCGCAGUCCCAAGACCAGCCCAGGCAGUCCAGUUGCAGUCUGCGCAAAGCUCGUCUGUCCUUCUUCCCACCUGCGACCUAAAGCAGAAAGAUGUGGACAGAAACAGCGUAGAGGUGCCGUGCAAGGACUCCACCUAGCUGAUGCGUUCUCGUUCACAGUGUCCAGAACUAGAGUUUACAAAGAAAACCCUCUCGCCCAGUCCAGGAGACAGAUCCAUGAGAAAUAAACCCACAGGAGAGGGCAUAGACUUAACAAGACAGACUGGAAAGUAGCCAUGAUUAAUAUGUCCAGGAAAUGGAUUUGGAGACAGAACUUUUGCACAGAGAAGUGGAACGUAUUUCAGGAUUCAGUUGAAAAUUCAAAACAGAAAUUAACUAAAUUUGAAUUCACUGGAUGAUCUCAAAAACAGAUUUGAUCCAGUGAAAGAGAUGAUUAGUGAACUGGAAGAUAGGACAGAAGGAAAUCUUCAGACAGGAAGUGUGUGGAGCAUACAGUGAGACAGGCCUGUGACGUGGGCCCACGGCACAGGUCCAACUUUGGUAAGUCCCUGGGUGAGAGAAAACAAUGUGCAAGAAGUAAUAUUUGGAAGGCAUAAUAAAAGAGGAUUUUCAAAACUGACCAAAGAGCAAGCACAGGUUGCAGAGAGAGCAUCCAUCCAAUAGGAAAUCCCCCAAACCAGCAGCUCUUUUCAGAAGAGUAAAGCCAAAGAUAGUUCAGUUGUCAUUUGCUUAGGUGUCCGCUGUUCACAAAGCAAGGCUGUUCCCAGAGAAAACGAAGGAGUCCCAUCUGAGUUUUCAACACAAGUGAUGGAGAGUAACAUCUCAGAGUGCUGAGAGGAACUGCCAAGGAGAAGCUUCUACCAAUGAAAGAGUUGCAUGCAGCAGCAGGUGGAGCUGCUUCAGGAAACUGCAAGAAAUAAGCAUAUGCUAAAGGAAAUUUGGUGACAGGAUUUCUUCAGCAAAGGAAACCUAGACGUACAGGAAGGAACGAGAAUCACAGAGGGUACUUUUGAAGGAAAGUGACAAUGACAGAGACAAGAGUGGACGUGUCAGCAGGAGUCCUAAACAAAAGUAGAAUUCCAUUCAGAGUAAGAUCUACCGGGAAAAGGGACAACUGAGGUUCUGUGGUGUGGAAAGUGGUGAGAGGUAAGUUAGGUUAGUUCCCAGUCAUUUGAGCCUUGAAACCCAUGAUGGGAGGAGAGAACUGUCUCCUAAAAGUUGUCUUCUGAUGACCAGGGCAUGUGCACACCCAUGCACACACGCCUGUGUGGGAGCACUCACAAGCCAACAUGCCAUUAACAGUUUACUGCUGGAAGCACAAAUGGAACUCAUGACUGAGAAAAUCAGGCAGGACCUGUGUGGCGUUGGCCAGGCUGCAUACCGCAACAAAAUCUGAAGUGAUCUCUUUCCUAGAAGGACAAGUUUUGUGGUGUAUUUUCUGACAUUAAAAAAAAAAAAUAGCAAGCAACAAAGCCAGUAAAACUUGUUAUUUAAUGCUUAACAUCUGGUGGACUGUAAAAAAAAAAAAUGCAACCACUGGGAUUGACACCCCAGAUAAUCAUAUGCAGCAGGCAGAAGAGUAGGGAGUGGGAGAGGUAGAGAGAGAGAGAGAGAGACAAGCCACAGUCCUUGCCUGGCUCACAAUGUAAACAUGUAGCUAGGUAUUAGACAGGUGCUAACAGAAUGAUGGGAGUUUAAAAACAUAAAAAUGUUCAAGUUGUGAAUGUGCUUUGCUGUGUCGAUAUUCCACUUCAAUGAACAAGAGUUGGGCAAAGGGAAAAAGAAAUAGGAUUAGUUCAAGAAACGUGGAAAUAACUUCCAAACAAUGAGGGAUACAGUGGCACAGGCAAACUCAAGCCAGGUAACCAGUUUGGAGAUGUAAGGGAGUUCUGGAAGUCACAGCAUAAGGCGUUUCCUCAGUGCUGAUACGAAUGACAGGUCCCCCGCCUUCACUUGUGUUCAUGGUGUGAAAGUGGUUACCAUCCGUGCUGUUUACACACAGGGCCAAGAUGAUGCAAACACUGGGUGGUCCUGCCCAGACUGUACAAAUUGGGACAGUGCUACUGUCCUUCAAAGAGGAAGAGCUAAUGAUUUGCAGAGUCAGGGCUGUCAAACCCAUCACAGAGCUGGAUCAGCAGGGUGGUCAGCCAGCUGGAACCCAGGCAGAGAACAGACAGUGAACCCAAAAACAAAACACAUGAAAAGAAGGGUUUUCCAUGGAAGCGGGCUAGAAGACUUGAGAUAAAGUAUUGGCAGAUCACUGCUGAAGGGCAGAUGUGGACUGGAAUGGAGCCGUGGGCCACGUGGUAUGGGAACUGAGGACGCUGUGCAGACACCAUCAGUAUGUUGCCCUCACUGGAAGAACAGGGCAGAGCCGUGCCAGGGAAGACCAUGGCUUGUCGGGACGCCCUUGGAGGCUGGAAGGGCACAGCCCUAAUCCACCAUGGCUCCCUAGACAAAGGAAGCUCCAACAGACCUAGACUUCAACUAUAAUGUAGGAUAACCCCAGCACCCAAAGCUGUUAGCACAGCAUAAUAUACCCUACCAUCAUGUCUGCACGACUCUUAAAACAUCAGAGCAAAUUCAGCAGCUUCAUGGCAUGCCGACAUCCCAUUCUGCCUGUCUCCACCUACACCAGGGAGGGCCAUUUGCUCUGCUCAGUGCUCUCAACCCAAAGAGGUCUCAUCUAGAAAGGAGACUUACUAGAUAUGUGAUGUUCUCUGAGGAAGCUAGGUGUGUGCUGAAGAUCCUCCUGAUGGUGGGUGGAAUGCUGCAGAUCCAGAGCCCAAACCAUCUUGACCUUAACUUCAGUGCUCUCUGAGUCUGACCCAACAUUUUUGUGACAAUUACAGAAAACUUACAGAAGUGUUGACUUACCAUACUUCUGGCUUCUACCUAAGGCUAAGAAUGUCACUGAGAGUAUCUGAGAGACUGGGGCUAUUCACACAACCACUUGCAAGGUGGAACACGUCCCCCAGGGCAAACUCAAUCCAGGUUCCUGGGACAUGACCACGCACAUCUAGCUCAGAGUAAACUCUUACCCUGCUUGGAGCAAAUACCAUUUUGCACUGACACGGCUAUCUCUUAGCUUGUUGAGGUGCUGUGUAAAUAUCAACCAUGCCAAGCCCCACCUU